UCCGAAGGGGGCUAUCGUUGUUCGGAUUUACUGGGCGUAAAGCGCGUGUAGGCGGGUCGUUAAGUUGGGGGUGAAAUCCCGGAGCUCAACUCCGGAACUGCCCUCAAAACUGGCGACCUGGACCCAAGUAGAGGCAAGUGGAAUUGCGAGUGUAGAGGUGAAAUUCGUAGAUAUUCGCAGGAACACCAGUGGUGAAGGCGACUUGCUGGACUUGUGGUGACGCUGAGACGCGAAAGCGUGGGGAGAAAACAGG
rnacentral:rRNA from 1 species